rnacentral:rRNA from 1 species
GGAUUAGAUACCCUGGUAGUCCACGCCUUAAACGAUGAGAGCUAGUUGUCAGUAAGCAUGCUUAUUGGUGACGCAGCUAACGCAUUAAGCUCUCCGCCUGGGGAGUACGGCCGCAAGGUUAAAACUCAAAGAAAUUGACGGGGGCCCGCACAAGCGGUGGAGCAUGUGGUUUAAUUCGAAGCAACGCGCAGAACCUUACCCACCUUUGACAUCCCGUGCUAUCUAGAGAGAUCUAGAGUCCCUUCGGGGCGCGGAGACAGGUGCUGCAUGGCUGUCGUCAGCUCGUGCCG